UACAGAGGGGGCAAGCGUUGUUCGGAAUUACUGGGCGUAAAGGGCGCGUAGGCGGCCUGUUAAGUCGAACGUGAAAUCCCCGGGCUCAACCCGGGAACUGCGUCCGAUACUGGCAGGCUUGAAUCCGGGAGAGGGAUGCGGAAUUCCAGGUGUAGCGGUGAAAUGCGUAGAUAUCUGGAGGAACACCGGUGGCGAAGGCGGCAUCCUGGACCUUUAUUGACGCUGAGGCGCGAAAGCGUGGGGAGCAAACAGG
rnacentral:rRNA from 1 species